GUAAAGGACUGGGGCCCCGCAACUGGCCUCUCCUGCCCUCUUAAGCGCAGCGCCAUUUUAGCAACGCAGAAGCCCGGCGCCGGGAAGCCUCAGCUCGCCUGAAGGCAGGUCCCCUCUGACGCCUCCGGGAGCCCAGGUUUCCCAGAGUCCUUGGGACGCAGCGACGAGUUGUGCUGCUAUCUUAGCUGUCCUUAUAGGCUGGCCAUUCCAGGUGGUGGUAUUUAGAUAAAACCACUCAAACUCUGCAGUUUGGUCUUGGGGUUUGGAGGAAAGCUUUUAUUUUUCUUCCUGCUCCGGUUCAGAAGGUCUGAAGCUCAUACCUAACCAGGCAUAACACAGAAUCUGCAAAACAAAAACCCCUAAAAAAGCAGACCCAGAGCAGUGUAAACACUUCUGGGUGUGUCCCUGACUGGCUGCCCAAGGUCUCUGUGUCUUCGGAGACAAAGCCAUUCGCUUAGUUGGUCUACUUUAAAAGGCCACUUGAACUCGCUUUCCAUGGCGAUUUGCCUUGUGAGCACUUUCAGGAGAGCCUGGAAGCUGAAAAACGGUAGAAAAAUUUCCGUGCGGGCCGUGGGGGGCUGGCGGCAACUGGGGGGCCGCAGAUCAGAGUGGGCCACUGGCAGCCAACGGCCCCCGGGGCUCAGGCGGGGAGCAGCUCUGUGGUGUGGGAUUGAGGCGUUUUCCAAGAGUGGGUUUUCACGUUUCUAAGAUUUCCCAAGCAGACAGCCCGUGCUGCUCCGAUUUCUCGAACAAAAAAGCAAAACGUGUGGCUGUCUUGGGAGCAAGUCGCAGGACUGCAAGCAGUUGGGGGAGAAAGUCCGCCAUUUUGCCACUUCUCAACCGUCCCUGCAAGGCUGGGGCUCAGUUGCGUAAUGGAAAGUAAAGCCCUGAACUAUCACACUUUAAUCUUCCUUCAAAAGGUGGUAAACUAUACCUACUGUCCCUCAAGAGAACACAAGAAGUGCUUUAAGAGGUAUUUUAAAAGUUCCGGGGGUUUUGUGAGGUGUUUGAUGACCCGUUUAAAAUAUGAUUUCCAUGUUUCUUUUGUCUAAAGUUUGCAGCUCAAAUCUUUCCACACGCUAGUAAUUUAAGUAUUUCUGCAUGUGUAGUUUGCAUUCAAGUUCCAUAAGCUGUUAAGAAAAAUCUAGAAAAGUAAAACUAGAACCUAUUUUUAACCGAAGAACUACUUUUUGCCUCCCUCACAAAGGCGGCGGAAGGUGAUCGAAUUCCGGUGAUGCGAGUUGUUCUCCGUCUAUAAAUACGCCUCGCCCGAGCUGUGCGGUAGGCAUUGAGGCAGCCAGCGCAGGGGCUUCUGCUGAGGGGGCAGGCGGAGCUUGAGGAAACCGCAGAUAAGUUUUUUUCUCUUUGAAAGAUAGAGAUUAAUACAACUACUUAAAAAAUAUAGUCAAUAGGUUACUAAGAUAUUGCUUAGCGUUAAGUUUUUAACGUAAUUUUAAUAGCUUAAGAUUUUAAGAGAAAAUAUGAAGACUUAGAAGAGUAGCAUGAGGAAGGAAAAGAUAAAAGGUUUCUAAAACAUGACGGAGGUUGAGAUGAAGCUUCUUCAUGGAGUAAAAAAUGUAUUUAAAAGAAAAUUGAGAGAAAGGACUACAGAGCCCCGAAUUAAUACCAAUAGAAGGGCAAUGCUUUUAGAUUAAAAUGAAGGUGACUUAAACAGCUUAAAGUUUAGUUUAAAAGUUGUAGGAUGAAACAAUUUGGAGAAGAUAGAAGUUUGAAGUGGAAAACUGGAAGACAGAAGUACGGGAAGGCGAAGAAAAGAAUAGAGAAGAUAGGGAAAUUAGAAGAUAAAAACAUACUUUUAGAAGAAAAAAGAAAAAGCUAAGGGCAAAAUGUACAAACUUAGAAGAAAAUUGGAAGAUAGAAACAAGAUAGAAAAUGAAAAUAUUGUCAAGAGUUUCAGAUAGAAAAUGAAAAACAAGCUAAGACAAGUAUUGGAGAAGUAUAGAAGAUAGAAAAAUAUAAAGCCAAAAAUUGGAUAAAAUAGCACUGAAAAAAUGAGGAAAUUAUUGGUAACCAAUUUAUUUUAAAAGCCCAUCAAUUUAAUUUCUGGUGGUGCAGAAGUUAGAAGGUAAAGCUUGAGAAGAUGAGGGUGUUUACGUAGACCAGAACCAAUUUAGAAGAAUACUUGAAGCUAGAAGGGGAAGUUGGUUAAAAAUCACAUCAAAAAGCUACUAAAAGGACUGGUGUAAUUUAAAAAAAACUAAGGCAGAAGGCUUUUGGAAGACUAGGAAGAAGGAAGGAGCGCUAACGAUUUGGUGGUGAAGCUAGGAAAAAGGAUUCCAGGAAGGAGCGAGUGCAAUUUGGUGAUGAAGGUAGCAGGCGGCUUGGCUUGGCAACCACACGGAGGAGGCUUAUACUCAUGAAUCUUGUCUGAAGCUUUUGAGGGCAGACUGCCAAGUCCUGGAGAAAUAGUAGAUGGCAAGUUUGUGG
rnacentral:lncRNA from 1 species